rnacentral:tRNA from 3 species
AAGGCUUUAGCUUAAUUAAAGUGUCUGGGUUGCAUCCAGAAGAUGUGAGAUAAAACCUUGCAAGUCUUA